rnacentral:rRNA from 1 species
AUUCCGGAGAGGGAGCCUGAGAAACGGCUACCACAUCUAAGGAAGGCAGCAGGCGCGUAAAUUACCCACUCCCAGUUCGGGGAGGUAGUGACGAAAAAUAACAAUACAGGACUCAUAUCCGAGGCCCUGUAAUUGGAAUGAGUACACUUUAAAUCCUUUAACAAGGACCUAUUAGAGGGCAAGUCUGGUGCCAGCAGCCGCGGUAAUUCCAGCUCUAAUAGCGUAUAUUAAAGUUGUUGCGGUUAAAACGUUCGUAGUUGAAUCUGUGCUUCAUACGGGUAGUACAAACCAUAAUUGUGGACUGUACAUUACCUUAUGUAUGCAAGCGUAUUACCGGUGGAGUUCUAAUAUGUAUUGGUGCAUUGUAUCUUUAUGUAUACCUCCUAUUUAAACCUGCUUCAGUGCUCUUCAUCGAGUGUUGUUGUGGGCCGGUACAAUUACUUUGAACAAAUUAGAGUGCUUAAAGCAGGCUCCAAAUGCCUGAAUAUUUUGUGCAUGGAAUAAUGAAAUAAGACCUCUGAUCUACUUUCAUUGGUUUUUAGAUCAAGAGGUAAUGAUUAAUAGAAGCAGUUUGGGGGCAUUAGUAUUACGACGCGAGAGGUGAAAUUCUUGGACCGUCGUAAGACUAACUUAAGCGAAAGCAUUUGCCAAAGAUGUUUUCAUUAAUCAAGAACGAAAGUUAGAGGUUCGAAGGCGA